rnacentral:rRNA from 1 species
AUACAGAGGGUGCGAGCGUUAAUCGGAAUUACUGGGCGUAAAGCGCGCGUAGGCGGCUUAUUAAGUCAGAUGUGAAAUCCCCGGGCUCAACCUGGGAACUGCAUCUGAUACUGGGUAGCUAGAGUUUAGGAGAGGGAAGUAGAAUUUCAGGUGUAGCGGUGAAAUGCAUAGAGAUCUGAAGGAAUACCAGUGGCGAAGGCGGCUUCCUGGCCUAAAACUGACGCUGAGGUGCGAAAGCGUGGGUAGCAAACGGGAUUAGAAACCCUAGUAGUCC